CCUCUCGGCCGCAUCCUCUCUCUCUCUCUCUUUCUCCCCCGACCUCUCGCACUCUCUCUCUCUCUCUCUUUCUCUCUGCCAUCGCCGGAAACCACCAUUUCUGGUCACCACCUUGCAAAACCGCCACCACCAAUCGAACCAGGACGGGAUUCCGACCUAAACCCAGCAAGAAUCACCGGCAUGCACCGCCUCCAGCUACUGCAUGCAACCACCACAGUUUCAGCCACCAUGCCUAGCCGGAAAGACUACUUCCAGUCACUUUCUCCACUCACCGCCACCACCACUCGAUCCAGCACCCAAAACAAACCAAACUUGAGCCUCACCUCUCGACAUGUAUCGCCCACAGCCACCGUACACGACCAUCACAGUCGCGACACCACUACUCCUCCACUUUCUUCAAUUUCCGGCUAUUUCCUCGCCCUUCCGCCACCAUAGUUCUACUCGACCAGCAAAGCGGAGCAAAACCCAGAAACCCCUCUGCCUGCCGACGCCUGACGACGCCGUUCGAGCAUCAUCGGAGCUCUCGGCUUCACAUGUCUUCGUUUUCCGGCCUCCAGUCCAAAUCGAGCGAAACCACCAUCAAGAGUAGAAUCAGCGCCUUGUCAAACACCAAAUCCCUAGGGCCCCGACCUCUAACUCCGACCAGAGCCACCUCGUCCGCCGCACGCGCCUCUAGCUCCGCCGCUCACGGCUGUUGGAGCUUCCGACUGCCUUUAUUAGGUAAUCUUCAUGUUUCGCUUUGAUUGGAGCUUUAGGUUUGACGUGAAAUGAAAUCCCUAACUCUGUCAUUUAAUUGGGAUUGUGUGAGGUUUGUGGAAUCUGCGGUUUUGAAGAAUUGGGAGAAGAAGGAAUGGUUGGGUCAGUUUCAAUUUGAAUCGGAAAUGGUGUUAAAACAAUCGUGGUGGUGAAUUGCUGCAGCGAUGAAUUGGUCUCUGAACUGGAAAAGAAGAAUGGUAAGGGGACUGUGCAUCUGGGAUCUAUAUGGUUGUGUGCUGUUUGUAUUGAUAGAAGUUAUGGCAUUACUGAGUAAACAGAAUGAGAUAUGGUUAUGCUGCUUGUGUAUUAACUGUUAUGUUGGAAACUUGGCAUGAAUAAGUAUAUGAAUAAGUAUGAA